rnacentral:lncRNA from 1 species
AUCUGGUUUCUCAUUCUUUUCUACUCCGCACUACUAUAGUCAAACUCCAGCAUAUCUUAAGAAGGCCCAUGUCUAUCAUUUUAACAUAAACAAGAUGUCGCGUUUUAUACUCUAUGUUCAGCGCACCAUCUCCAUGCAGAUGGCAGCACUGUAGGAUGGUUGCUAUUAAUAAUGUCAUGAAUUUGCCUCCGUUUCUCAAUCUCCAUAGCUUCCGUGGUGGCGGGUCCUCUAGGGUCAUACAGCGGUUUUGCCACCUUUGCGUCCUUCCGUCUUAUAUCCAGAUCGUUCUCAUAUGCUUUCAUAGCGUGAGCUAUACUAAGCCUUCCAGUUCUAAGGU